UGGGGAAUAUUGCACAAUGGGGGAAACCCUGAUGCAGCAACGCCGCGUGAGUGAUGACGGUCUUCGGAUUGUAAAGCUCUGUCUUUAGGGACGAUAAUGACGGUACCUAAGGAGGAAGCCACGGCUAACUACGUGCCAGCAGCCGCGGUAAUACGUAGGUGGCAAGCGUUGUCCGGAUUUACUGGGCGUAAAGGGAGCGUAGGUGGAUAUUUAAGUGGGAUGUGAAAUACCCGGGCUUAACCUGGGUGCUGCAUUCCAAACUGAAUAUCUAGAGUGCAGGAGAGGAAAGGAGAAUUCCUAGUGUAGCGGUGAAAUGCGUAGAGAUUAGGAAGAAUACCAGUGGCG
rnacentral:rRNA from 1 species